UGGGGUCGUUUAUAAAGCAAUUAUUCUUUAGUUUAUUGGAUAAAACCAAAGGAAGAAACAAACUCUCGUGUCUCAACAAGGAAGAAAAGAAGAAGAAGAAGAAGAAGAUGGAGAAGAAGAAGAAGAUGAAAUUACACCUAGUGCUUGACUUGGAUCAGACGCUUCUCCACUAUGUCCCUGUUUCACAGCUUUCUGAUAAAGAAAAAUAUAUAAUGCAAGAACCUGAUUCAAGGGUACGCGCGGUAUGUAUUGAGUGUUAUUGAUCCUGGUAAAAGAUAUUUUGGAAAUAGAGUCAUAACCAGAGAGAAAUCCCCCCAUAAGAAGACCCUUGAUCGUAUCUCUGCUGAUCAACGAAGAGUGGUUAUUGUUGAUGAUAAUCCUAGUGCUUGGCCUCAACACAAGCCAAACUUGUUGCAGGUCUCACAGUACAUUUAUUUCAGAUACCAGAUGACGAAUAAUAAUUCGGAAGAAGAUUCUUACGCAGAGAAGGAGAGCGACGAGUGUCGAAGCAAUGGAGCAUUGUCUAAUGUUCUCAAACUCCUUCAAAAAGCUCACACAAGAUUCCAACAAGAAGAGGAUUCUAACGACUUGAGGCUUUUGAUACAUUUGGAGGGUAAAGCUUCAUCUGAAUCUUCUGCAUUGCACCUUGAAUCAAUUCCCCCGUUAUCUGAAAAUACUGGUAAAAUGAUCAAAGAUGACUAUGAAGAAUAUAAGAGUGAGAAACCAAAUCUGAUUCUUCUUUCAUUCAUUCAUCUUGUCUAUAUCUUGAAGUAAAAAAGCUUCUGAGAAAUCAAGAAAACAAUAUAACAUGUUGGAAAGUAGAUGAUAAAUUACUAGUGACUGAGAAGAUUUUGAUCUCUACAACUUUGUUUACCGGUCAUCAUCAUCAUCAUCUUCACAUUCCCCUUGAGCUUGCGACUCGUCCCCAAUAUCCUCCAAAAGCUUAUCAACAUCAACUCCUAACUCUACCAGCUUCGCCGUUAGCUUCUCCACUUUACUCUCCUCUUGUCCCAAACACAC